CUGCUUACCCAGCAGGGGAGAUACCAUGAUCAUGAAAGUGGUUUUCCCAGGGCGAGUCUUAUCCACUGCACUCCGGAUGUGCUGACCCCUGAGAUUUCCCCAGAUGUGGGAAACUCGACUGCAUAAUUUGAAUC
ensembl:snRNA U1 U1 spliceosomal RNA